CCUACGGGAGGCAGCAGUGAGGAAUAUUGGUCAAUGGGCGGGAGCCUGAACCAGCCAAGUCGCGUGAAGGAAGAAGGUACUUAGUAUUGUAAACUUCUUUUGUCGGGGAACAAAGGCGGAGACGCGUCUCCGGAUGAGUGUACCCGAAGAAAAAGCAUCGGCUAACUCCGUGCCAGCAGCCGCGGUAAUACGGAGGAUGCGAGCGUUAUCCGGAUUUAUUGGGUUUAAAGGGUGCGUAGGCGGACUGUUAAGUCAGCGGUAAAAGCCCGGGGCUCAACCCCGGCGAGCCGUUGAAACUGGCUGUC
rnacentral:rRNA from 1 species